CCGAGCGGUGCUAUCUGCAGUCGUAGAGAGUUUUUACUCAAGUGGCGGACGGGUGAGUAACACGUAAGAAUUUGCCUUUAGGAGGGGGAUAACAACUGGAAACGGUUGCUAAUACCCCAUAUGCUUUCGAGUGAAAUGGAUUUUUCCGCCUAGAGAGAAGCUUGCGUCUGAUUAGCUUGUUGGUGAGGUAACGGCUCACCAAGGCGACGAUCAGUAUCUGGUUUGAGAGGAUGAUCAGACACACUGGAACUGAGACACGGUCCAGACUCCUACGGGAGGCAGCAGUAGGGAAUUUUCCGCAAUGGGCGAAAGCCUGACGGAGCAAUACCGCGUGAGGGAUGACGGCCUAUGGGUUGUAAACCUCUUUUUUCAGGGAGGAAUCAAUGACGUGUACCUGAAGAAUAAGCAUCGGCUAACUCCGUGCCAACAGCCGCGGUAAGACGGAGGAUGCAAGUGUUAUCCGGAAUCACUGGGCGUAAAGCGUCUGUAGGUGGUCAAAUAAGUCAACUGUUAAAUCUUGAGGCUCAACCUCAAAACCGCAGUCGAAACUAUUAGACUAGAGUAUAGUAGGGGUAAAGGGAAUUUCCAGUGGAGCGGUGAAAUGCGUAGAGAUUGGAAGGAACACCGAUGGCGAAGGCACUUUACUGGGCUAUUACUAACACUCAGAGACGAAAGCUAGGGUAGCAAAUGGGAUUAGAUACCCCAGUAGUCCUAGCUGUAAACCAUGGAUACUAGAUGUUGAACAGAUCGACCUGUGCAGUAUCAAAGCUAACGCGUUAAGUAUCCCGCCUGGGAAGUAUGCUCGCAAGAGUGAAACUCAAAGGAAUUGACGGGGGCCCGCAC
rnacentral:rRNA from 1 species